rnacentral:misc_RNA from 1 species
GGAAGUAAAAGCGUAACAAGGUCUCCGUUGGUGAACCAGCGGAGGGAUCAUUACAGGACUCGCAAGACUCCUUCACCCUGUGAACCUCACUACAAGCACGUUGCUUCGGCGGGUGUCCCGGCGGGGGUUUUCCCUCGCCGGGGCGCACAGCCCGCCGGCAGCCUACUAUACUCUGUCUCUUUGCGUUGGCAUCUCGAGAAAAAACAAACAAGUUAAAACUUUCAACAACGGAUCUCUUGGUUCUG